rnacentral:rRNA from 1 species
GAUGAACGCUGGCGGCGUGCUUAAUACAUGCAAGUCGAGCGGACAGACGAGGAGCUUGCUCCUUUCACGUUAGCGGAGGACGGGUGAGAAACGCGUGGAUAACCUACCUAUAAGACUGAGAUCAUUUCGGGACACCGGAGCUAAUACCGGAGAAUCUACUGAACCACGUGGUUCAAUAGUGAAUGACGGUUUUGCUGUCACUUAUAGAUGCAUCCGAGCCGCAUUAGCUAGUUGGUAAGGUCAUGGCUUACCAAGGCAACGAGGCGUAGACGACCGGAGAGAGUGAUCGGCCGCACGGGAAGUGGAACAGGGUCCUGACUCCUACGGUAGGCAGCAGUAGGGAAUCGUCGGCAAUGGUCGAGAGUCUGGCGGAGCGACGCCAAGUGAGUUAUGGAGACCUUCGGAUCGUGAAGCCCUGUUAUGAGGUAAGAACAGAUUUGUAAGUAGCUGUGCACGGCUUGACGGUACCUAGUCAGAAAGCCCCGGCUAACUACGUG